GACGAACGCUGGCGGCGUGCUUAACACAUGCAAGUCGAACGGAAAGGCCCUGCUUUUGUGGGGUGCUCGAGUGGCGAACGGGUGAGUAACACGUGAGUAACCUGCCCUUGACUUUGGGAUAACUUCAGAAAACUGGGGCUAAUACCGGAUAGGAGCUCCUGCUGCAUGGUGGGGGUUGGAAAGUUUCGGCGGUUGGGGAUGGACUCGCGGCUUAUCAGCUUGUUGGUGGGGUAGUGGCUUACCAAGGCUUUGACGGGUAGCCGGCCUGAGAGGGUGACCGGCCACAUUGGGACUGAGAUACGGCCCAGACUCCUACGGGAGGCAGCAGUGGGGAAUAUUGCACAAUGGGCGGAAGCCUGAUGCAGCAACGCCGCGUGCGGGAUGACGGCCUUCGGGUUGUAAACCGCUUUCGCCUGUGACGAAGCGUGAGUGACGGUAAUGGGCAAAGAAGCACCGGCUAACUACGUG
rnacentral:rRNA from 1 species